UACAGAGGGUGCGAGCGUUGUUCGGAAUUAUUGGGCGUAAAGGGCGCGUAGGCGGCGCGGUAUGUCACCUGUGAAAUCUCCUGGCUCAACUGGGAGCUUGCAGGCGAAACUGCCGUGCUGGAGUGUGGGAGAGGUGCGUGGAAUUCCUGGUGUAGCGGUGAAAUGCGUUGAUAUCAGAAGGAACGCCGGCGGCGAAAGCGGCGCACUGGACCUUUUCUGACGCUGAGGCGCGAAAGCUAGGGGAGCAAACAGG
rnacentral:rRNA from 1 species